rnacentral:lncRNA from 1 species
UUGAAAUUUUGGGUUAAUAAUUUUUUUUGGUUUGUAACUGGACAUUUAAUUAUUUUUUGGUUUUUAUUUCUUUGUGAUUUUGGGCCUGGGCAAAUUGGCCUACUACAAAUAUAAUUUUAAUUUUAAUUAAAAAUGGGCCGGGCCAGGCCGGGCUUGGGCUCUAUAUUUUUUCCCCGGGCCGGGCCUGGAUAAAAUCUUAGGCCCAUAUUUUGGGCCGGGCCGGUCCUGGGCCAGGGAAGUGGGCUAAAAUUUU